AAAGAAACUAACAAGGAUUCCCCUAGUAACGGCGAGUGAAGCGGGAAGAGCUCAAAUUUAAAAUCUGGUUUGCUUGCAAAUCCGAGUUGUAGUCUGAAGAAGCGUUUUCCAUGAAAAUCGAGGCACAAGUCCUUUGGAACAGGGCAUCAUAGAGGGUGAGAAUCCCGUCCAUGGUCUCGAAUCUUUCAUUUUGUGAUACGCUUUCUAAGAGUCAGGUUGUUUGGGAAUGCAGCCUAAAAUGGGUGGUAAAUUUCAUCUAAAGCUAAAUAUUGGCGAGAGACCGAUAGCGAACAAGUACCGUGAGGGAAAGAUGAAAAGAACUUUGAAAAGAGAGUUAAAAAGUACGUGAAAUUGUUGAAAGGGAACCGUUUGAAGCCAGUCUUGCUUAUUUGUGAUCAGUUUUGGCUUUGGCCAGAAUGCACUCUCAAAUUAUGCAGGUCAACGUCAGUUUGAGAGGCGGGAAAAAAGCUUGAGGAAUGUGGCCUUCGGGUGUUAUAGCCUCUUGCUAAAUACCGUCUCAUGGACUGAGGCUCGCAGCAAAAAUUUGGGCAGGCGUGCUUCUGAGGGGAAUCAUUAUCAAGACAGCUUGCUGACUUGGUUUUGCCCAACUUCACAGUACGUUUCGCUUCUAAUUUGCUUAGGUCGUUGACAUAAUGGCUUUAAAUGACCCGUCUUGAAACACGGACCAAGGAGUCUAACAUAUAUGCGAGUAUUUGGGUGGCAAACCCACAUGCGCAAUGAAAGUGAAAUUAGGUGCCAAACCUUCACGGGUGGCAGCAUCGGCCGGCUCUGACGCUUUAACUGACGAGUCUGAGCAGAAGCAUACAUGUUGGGACCCGAAA
rnacentral:rRNA from 1 species